AUAAUCUAUUAAAUAAUGACUUGUACAUACGUAUUUUAUCAUGUCUACUAAUAAUCUCAUCACAUUGCAGUUCAUACAUCAGUUUAUUUUAUCCUGUUUCCUUCAUGUAUGUAUUUAGGCUGUUCAUUUUCCCUUUUUCAGAUGUAUGCCAUGUAUGUGUAGCCAUGGUUCUGAAACACCCCCAUUCCUUCUCUUCCUAUCAAUUUUCAUUGAUUCAGUUAUUUGACUAAAUGAUAAUAUAUGCCCCAGGGUUAAUUAGUACCUAAAAUGCUACCUUUGGUUUGUGAAAAAGAUCUAGAGUGGCUUCUGCAGCUCCUGUUAUGUUUCAUUGAUUCAGUCAUGUAGUAGGAUAGUUCCACUGGAUUUUACUAAAUGGUUUUGUAGCUUUACUUAGUGAAAAUGCCUCAAUUGGUUUCCGCAACAUUGCUUGUCUGUUGGCAGCUGGAGCAUACUUGGUACAUGAGCCUUGCCGUGAGUGGUGGUGCAACGGUGACCUUGACGAGCAGGGCAAUGGCCAGACACGAGUAAGACACCAAAGAUGACUGGAAGCACUCAAAAAAGUUUACCACGCUGGAGCUAUGUCAGGUUGUACGAGGGCAGUUAAUGAAUAUACUUGCGACCCUUUUACUCUCAGACUCUCCUCCUUUUCUCGCUGCUGAACCCCUGCCAUCAUCAUGUCCAGACUGGCUGUCUCCAUGGUUGUGGCGCCAAGGUCACCGCAUCUUACAUCCUGAUGCAUUUUCAAGAAGACAUUAUUUGAUGUUAGAUGGCCAUUAUGUUCGCUUCAUAUGGACAGAGGACUAAUGGUACUCUUCCAUGAAGAGAAGCAAGUGGAUCAGUAUGUAGUAGCAGGUAUCAAUGUUUUCUCAUACUGAUGAUUCUGAAGUAAUUAGAUUGAGAAAAUUGCUUUAUUCCCCAAUUUCUCUCUGAAACCUUUGCCUUGUCCAUAGUCAUACCUAAAUGAGUUACUUUAUUUCCUAUAGCUCUAUUACUUUU